GGGAAGGUCUUUUGGAGCUCUGGAGAACUGAACAAUAGGGAGCAAAAUGACAGGUGGAGCUCAGUGUCAACAAAUGCAAAAUACUAUUAAUUGGAGAGGGAAACAUGAUUUACUCAUUAACCUUACACCAUUCUGCACGUGUCAGGUUAGGAAGGGGACUUGGAUGUGGUGGUGGACAGAUGUGUAUAGUCACAGUCCAAAGAAUGAAACAAGGUCAUAGAUUGUGAAGGCAUAGAAAAAGAAGGCAGUGCUUUUCUGUGGUCAGCAGUGUGACUCUGUGGGGAGCAAAGUGCAGGACUGGGUACUCAAAGUCUCAAGGGACAAUCUAUGAAGCAGACCUAUGUCAGCUUCAGCACAGGGUGAUGGGAAUGCUUAUCUUCCACUGUCUGCUUGUUUACAAUGAAGACUCAUUUGGAGUUCUCACUAUUACUCUUCUGUGAACCAGCUCACCCAGAACUGCCAGGGGUUGUCCAAGAGUUAGAUGUACAGAUGUCCUGGUCUCAGCCUAGUUGCUUACCGGAAUUGAGGUCUGCAGAAAAUGCAGUUCAGGUGGCUGGUCUCUGUUUGGAUCAGGAGCCCUGGUGUGAUGCCCAUCUGCGUCCAACAAUACUUCAGCGUAGAAAUAAUCCUGUCAGAAAACUUCUGUGGAAGGAUUAUCCAGAGUCUGAUGUAUUGCAAAACAAGUAUUUUACUUGAAUUGAUGACUUUUAAUAAUUAGUCAGAAAUAGUCAUUUCUGGAGCUGAUUUUUAUAUGGUUUUGAAGAUAUUCCUUACUAGUAAAGAUGGAGGGUUUGAAGAUGGGAAGACUACUUUGUGAAACUCUGCUACUGGAAACUAGAUAAUGCUGUUCUUGUGUAUGUAAAUUCAGUCUGGG
rnacentral:lncRNA from 1 species